CCUACGGGUGGCUGCAGUGGGGAAUAUUGGACAAUGUGGGCAACCCUGAUCCAGCCAUGCCGCGUGUGUGAAGAAGGCCCUCGGGUUGUAAAGCACUUUCAGUGAGGAAGAACGCCUGGUGGUUAAUACCCAUCAGGAAAGACAUCACUCACAGAAGAAGCACCGGCUAACUCCGUGCCAGCAGCCGCGGUAAUACGGAGGGUGCGAGCGUUAAUCGGAAUUACUGGGCGUAAAGCGCGCGUAGGUGGCUUGAUAAGCCGGUUGUGAAAGCCCCGGGCUCAACCUGGGAACGGCAUCCGGAACUGUCAAGCUAGAGUGCAGGAGAGGAAGGUAGAAUUCCCGGUGUAGCGGUGAAAUGCGUAGAGAUCGGGAGGAAUACCAGUGGCGAAGGCGGCCUUCUGGACUGACACUGACACUGAGGUGCGAAAGCGUGGGUAGCAAACAGGAUUAGAUACCCUAGUAGUC
rnacentral:rRNA from 1 species